UUUAGCUCACCUGGCCCGAAGGGCCAAGUGAGCUUUUCUCAUCACUUGGCGUCCGUCGUCCGGCGUCGUCCGUCGUCGGCGUAAACUUUUUACAUUUUGAACUUCUUCUAGAGAACCACUGAAUGGAAUGAAACCAAACAUGGCAUGAAUGUUCCUUAUGAGGUGCUGACCAAGUGUUGUUACUUUGUAGCCGAUCCAUCAUCCAAGAUGGCCGCCAGCGGUGGACUUAGUUUAACAUAGGACCCUAUGGGAAAUACAUACAAAUGUCUUCUUUUAGAGAACCACUGAAUGCAAUGAAACCAAACAUGGCAUGAAUGUUCCUUAUGAGGUGCUGACCAAGUGUUGUUACUUUGUAGCGGAUCCAUCAUCCAAGAUGGCCGCCAGCGGUGGACUUGGUUUAACAUAGGACCCUAUGGGAAAUACAUACAAAUGUCUUCUUUUAGAGAACCACUGAAUGGAAUGAAACCAAACAUGGCAUGAAUGUUUCUUAUGAGGUGCUGACCGAGUGUUGUUACUUUGAAGCCGAUCCAUAAUCCAAGAUGGACGCCAGCGGGGGACUUAGUUUAACAUAGGACCCUAUGGGAAAUACAUACAAAUGUCUUCUUUUAGAGAACCACUGAAUGGAAUGAAACCAAACAUGGUAUGAAUGUUCCUUAUGAGGUGCUGACCAAGUGUUGUUACUUUGUAGCGGAUCCAUCAUCCAAGAUGGCCGCCAGCGGUGGACUUAGUUUAACAUAGGACCCUAUGGGAAAUACAUACAAAUGUCUUCUUUUAGAGAACCACUGAAUGGAAUGAAACCAAACAUGGCAUGAAUGUUCCUUAUGAGGUGCUGACCGAGUGUUGUUACUUUGUAGCCGAUCCAUCAUCCAAGAUGGCCGCCAGCGUGGGACUUAGUUUAACAUAGGACCCUAUGGGAAAUACAUACAAAUGUCUUCUUUUAGAGAACCACUGAAUGGAAUGAAACCAAACAUGGCAUGAAUGUUUCUUAUGAGGUGCUGACUGAGUGUUGUUACUUUGAAGCCGAUCCAUAAUCCAAGAUGGCAGCCAGCGGGGGACUUAGUUUAACAUAGGAUCCUAUGGGAAAUACAUACAAAUGUCUUCUUUUAGAGAACCACUGAAUGGAAUGAAACCAAACAUGGCAUGAAUGUUCCUUAUGAGGUGCUGACCAAGUGUUGUUACUUUGUAGCCGAUCCAUCAUCCAAGAUGGCCGCCAGCGGUGGACUUAGUUUAACAUAGGACCCUAUGGGAAAUACAUACAAAUGUCUUCUUUUAGAGAACCACUGAAUGCAAUGAAACCAAACAUGGCAUGAAUGUUCCUUAUGAGGUGCUGACCAAGUGUUGUUACUUUGUAGCGGAUCCAUCAUCCAAGAUGGCCGCCAGCGGUGGACUUGGUUUAACAUAGGACCCUAUGGGAAAUACAUACAAAUGUCUUCUUUUAGAGAACCACUGAAUGGAAUGAAACCAAACAUGGCAUGAAUGUUUCUUAUGAGGUGCUGACCGAGUGUUGUUACUUUGAAGCCGAUCCAUAAUCCAAGAUGGACGCCAGCGGGGGACUUAGUUUAACAUAGGACCCUAUGGGAAAUACAUACAAAUGUCUUCUUUUAGAGAACCACUGAAUGGAAUGAAACCAAACAUGGUAUGAAUGUUCCUUAUGAGGUGCUGACCGAGUGUUGUUACUUUGUAGCCGAUCCAUCAUCCAAGAUGGCCGCCAGCGUGGGACUUAGUUUAACAUAGGACCCUAUGGGAAAUACAUACAAAUGUCUUCUUUUAGAGAACCACUGAAUGGAAUGAAACCAAACAUGGCAUGAAUGUUUCUUAUGAGGUGCUGACUGAGUGUUGUUACUUUGAAGCCGAUCCAUAAUCCAAGAUGGCAGCCAGCGGGGGACUUAGUUUAACAUAGGAUCCUAUGGGAAAUACAUACAAAUGUCUUCUUUUAGAGAACCACUGAAUGGAAUGAAACCAAACAUGGCAUGAAUGUUCCUUAUGAGGUGCUGACCAAGUGUUGUUACUUUGUAGCCGAUCCAUCAUCCAAGAUGGCCGCCAGCGGUGGACUUAGUUUAACAUAGGACCCUAUGGGAAAUACAUACAAAUGUCUUCUUUUAGAGAACCACUGAAUGCAAUGAAACCAAACAUGGCAUGAAUGUUCCUUAUGAGGUGCUGACCAAGUGUUGUUACUUUGUAGCGGAUCCAUCAUCCAAGAUGGCCGCCAGCGGUGGACUUGGUUUAACAUAGGACCCUAUGGGAAAUACAUACAAAUGUCUUCUUUUAGAGAACCACUGAAUGGAAUGAAACCAAACAUGGCAUGAAUGUUUCUUAUGAGGUGCUGACCGAGUGUUGUUACUUUGAAGCCGAUCCAUAAUCCAAGAUGGACGCCAGCGGGGGACUUAGUUUAACAUAGGACCCUAUGGGAAAUACAUACAAAUGUCUUCUUUUAGAGAACCACUGAAUGGAAUGAAACCAAACAUGGUAUGAAUGUUCCUUAUGAGGUGCUGACCGAGUGUUGUUACUUUGUAGCCGAUCCAUCAUCCAAGAUGGCCGCCAGCGUGGGACUUAGUUUAACAUAGGACCCUAUGGGAAAUACAUACAAAUGUCUUCUUUUAGAGAACCACUGAAUGGAAUGAAACCAAACAUGGCAUGAAUGUUUCUUAUGAGGUGCUGACUGAGUGUUGUUACUUUGAAGCCGAUCCAUAAUCCAAGAUGGCAGCCAGCGGGGGACUUAGUUUAACAUAGGAUCCUAUGGGAAAUACAUACAAAUGUCUUCUUUUAGAGAACCACUGAAUGGAAUGAAACCAAACAUGGUAUGAAUGUUCCUUAUGAGGUGCUGACCGAGUGUUGUUACUUUGAAGCCGAUCCAUAAUCCAAGAUGGCCGCCAGCGGGGGACUUAGUUUAACAUAGAACCCUAUUGGAAAUACAUACAAAUGUCUUCUUUUAGAGAACCACUGAAUGGAAUGAAACCAAACAUGGCAUGAAUGUUCCUUAUGAGGUGCUGACAGAGUGUUGUUACUUUGAAGCCGAUCCAUAAUCCAAGAUGGCUGCCUGCAGGGGACUUAGUUUAACAAGCGACCCUAUGAGAAAUACAUCCAAAUGUCUUCUUUUAAAGAACCACUGAAUGGAAUGAAACCAAACAUGGCAAGAAUGUUCCUUAUGAGGUGCUGACCAAGUGUUGUUACUUUGAAGCUGAUCCAUCAUCCAAGAUGGCCGCCAGCGGGGGACUUAGUUUAACAUAUAUAGGACCCUAUGGGAAAUACAUACAAAUGUCUUCUUUUAGAGAACCACUGAAUGCAAUGAAACCAAACAUGGCAUGAAUGUUCCUUAUGAGGUGCUGACCAAGUGUUGUUACUAUGAAGCCAAUCCAUAAUCUAAGAUGGCCGCCAGCGGAGGACUUAGUUUAACAUAGGACCCUAUGAGAAAUACGUACAAAUGUUUUCUUUUAGAGAACCAUCGAAUGGAAUGAAACCAAACAUGGCAUGCAUGUUCCUUUUGAGAUGCUGACCAAGUGUUGUUACUUUGAAGCUGAUCCUUCAUCCAUGAUGGCUGCCAGAUGGGGACAAUGUUUAACAAAGGACCCUAUGGACAAUACAUACAAAUGUCUUCUUUUAGAGAACCACAUACUGAAUGGAUUGAAACCAAACAUGGCAUGAAUGUUCCUUAUGAGGUGCUGACUAAGUUUUGUUACUUUGAAGCUGAUCCUUUAUCCAUGAUGGCCGCCAAUGGGAGGACUUCCUUUAACAUAAGACCCUAUGGGAAAUACAUACAAAUGCUUCUUCUAGAGGUGCACUGAAUGGAAUGAAACCAAAACAUGGCAUAAAUGUUUCUUAUGAGGUGCUGAUUAAGUGUUGCUACUUUGUUGCCGAUUUACUGUUCAAGAUGGCCACCAGGAUUUUUUAUUAAAUUACAGGACCAAUAUUAAACCAAAUUUGGCCUCACUCAUUAUUAGGGUAUCUGUUAUGAUUUUAAUCUAUUUUUACAUUAUUUCCAAAACCAAAGUAGAAUCAGGUGAGGGACACAGGCUCUUGAGAGCCUCUAGUUGGUUAUUAUCUUGAAUAUUAUAAUAGAUAGAGAUAAACUAUAAACAGCAAUAAUGUUCAGCAAAGUAAGAUCUACAAAUAAGUUUCUAUGACCAAAAUUGUCAGUCGACCCCUUUUGGAGCUAUUGCCCUUAAUAGUCAAUUUUUAACAAUUUUUUGUAAAUUUUAAAAAUAGAACAUCGGGGUAAAAUGCAGUUUUUGGUUUAUAUCUAUGAAACUAAAGCAUUUAGAGCAAAUCUGACAGGUGGCAAAAAUGUUCAUCAGAUUUAGAUUUAUCUGCCCUGAAAUUUUCAGACGAACCCGACAACCCGCUGUUGGGUUGCUGCCCCUGAGUUAGUAAUUUUACAAAAAUUUUGCAGUUUUUUGUUAUUAUCUUAGAUAUCAUUAUAAUAUCUAAUAUCUAAUACUAUUAAUUAUGAUUUAAACCUUAUUUUACAUGAUUUCUAAAGCAUCAGUAAAUACAGGUGAGCGACACAGGCUCUUGAGAGCCUCUAG